CCCUUAGAUGUUCUGGGCUGCACGCGCGCUACACUGAUGCGUUCAACGAGUUUAUGACCUUGCCCGAUAGGGUUGGGUAAUCUUUUUAAAUCGCAUCGUGAUGGGGAUAGAUUAUUGCAAUUAUUAAUCUUCAACGAGGAAUUCCUAGUAAGCGCGAGUCAUCAGCUCGUGCUGAUUACGUCCCUGCCCUUUGUACACACCGCCCGUCGCACCUACCGAUUGAAUGGUCCGGUGAAAUCCUCGGAUCGAGCCGUGGGGCAACUCCGGUUCGAGAAGUUGAUUAAACCUUACCAUUUAGAGGAAGGUGAAGUCGUAACA
rnacentral:rRNA from 1 species